GUUCCGUAGGUGAACCUGCGGAAGGAUCAUUG
rnacentral:rRNA from 2 species